rnacentral:misc_RNA from 1 species
UUUCCGUAGGUGAACCUGCGGAAGGAUCAUUAAUGAGUUGUCAUGGGGUUCGAUGUUGGCAGCCAGAUUUUCGAUGCAUGUGCUCGCCCAAACACUCAUCUUCUUCAAAACACCUGUGCACAUUUUUGAGGGAGUCUUGAGUUGGUUGCUGCUCUUGGGUGAUUUUCUCACAUUCCAUUAAAUCAUUAUACGCUAUUAGCAAUGAUGAACGAGCUCUGAGACGCGAGGCCCUUACUAUAAAACAACUUUUAACAACGUAUCUCUUGGCUCUCGCAUCGU